AUGCGACAACAAAAUACUCAUCUAACCACACUGGACCGUAUUACCCAGAAGCUCCACAACAUCUUCCUAAAGCCUUAUAAAUGGCUCCGUGGCAUCAGUGAGCAACAACAUGAACCAGACUAGGAGAGAAAGCAAACUGUUACUGCCUGGUAAGUUCCUGGGUGACUGUGCUCACCAGACUACACCUAGCUAAUGAUUCUUUAGAACAUGUCUUUAAGGUAGACUGAGGACCUCAUAAGGGCCAAAGGACAUGGUUAGUCUGCCCAGAAAGGUUGCCUGCUAGGCCUCUCAGUGCAACCCUUUGGGCACACAAGCCAAGUGUGUGCAGCAGGUGCAUGGGCCCACUGUGGCUGAUGGUGCUAUCGACAACUGUGAUCGCUUAUACUCAGUGUUCCUCUUGACCGUCACAUCCAGUUGGGCCACGUAGUCCUGGGUGUAUAAGAUGUACUCUGUGUUAUCUGGGAGCUCUUGCUGCUCAGAGUACCUCCAGCUGGAGGAACAGGGUCUACAGUUCUCC
rnacentral:lncRNA from 1 species